GCGCAGCAGGCGAGAAAACUUCACAAUGUGCGAAAGCACGAUGAGGGAAUCCCAAGUGCUUGCACGUAAGUGUAAGCUGUUUCUCUGUCUAAAACGCAGAGGGAGUAAGGGCUGGGUAAGACGGGUGCCAGCCGCCGCGGUAAUACCUGCAGCUCGAGUGGUGACCGUUAUUAUUGGGCCUAAAACGUCCGUAGCCGGUUUAAUAAAUGCCUGGGUAAAUCGGACCGCUUAACGGUUCGAAUUCCGGGUAGACUGUUAAACUUGAGACCGGGAGAAGUUAGAGGUACUCCUGGGGUAGAGGUGAAAUUCUGUAAUCCUAGGGGGACCACCAGUGGCGAAGGCGUCUAACUAGAACGGGUCUGACGGUGAGGGACGAAGCCCUGGGGGCGCAAACGGGGAUUAGAUACCCGUGUAGU
rnacentral:rRNA from 1 species